AUAUAUAUAUAUAAAUAUAUUCAACUGGUUGGAGAAAAAAAUUUAAAAAUUUAAUUUUUUCCAGUGUACCAAAUAGUAGUUGUUCUGAUACUGAAGGAGAGAGUAUAGAUCCAAACAGUGCUUUUGUUGCAGUUGCAGCCAAUAAGAGUAAAAAAUUAGCGACUGCAACACAUUUACAGAAAAAGAACUGUAAACAGAACAUUUUUCCUUCACCAUUAAAGCAAGAUAGAUAUAGUUUUUUAAAUUCUGAAACUUGUAAAAAGGGCAAAGAAAAUAAAAAUAAAAAUAAUAAUAAUCAGUCUGCUUGUAAAGGAUUCAAAAAUGGUAUUGAUCCUAAUAGUGCUUUUGUGGCUGUUGCUGCUAGUAAAAGUAAGAGAAAUAUCUCAAUGCAAAAACUUGUAAAUGAAGAUAAUUUUUGUAAUAAUAUAAGGCAAAAUAAUGAUGUACAGAAUGUAAGUAUAUAAGAGGCUGUCUGAUGUUAUGAAAUAUUUUGUUUUUCAGUAUUUCCUUAAAAAGUUAAUUACAAAACAGAUAUAAAUUUUUAAAUCAAGUUUGAAUGUAAACAGAUAAUUUAUAUACAGGGUAUCCAAUAAGUCUGGAAUCAUAGGAAUCAUGUUUGUCUUUGUUUAUUCUUUUAAAGUAAAACAUCCAAACUGAUGUAUAUGAUUAGUGAAAAGUCUGGAUAUAUCCUAUUAAACCUAUCAGGCAUAUUUGGCAACUUUUCACUGUGGACUCCCAUGACCAAAAUUACUUGAAUUCAUUCAUUCUUAUUCAGUGCCAUACUUGUAAAAGAUUAAACGAAUACUAGCAUAAUUCUUAUGGUUCCAGACUUAUAAGACACAUUGUAUAUUUUGACAUUAUAAUUUUUUGUUUUAUAUAAAUCCUUAUUGAUUCACAAAUCAGAUCCAUUCCUAUGGUCCAUUUGUUGUAUGCAUUUGUCAGUUAUGUGUUAAAACAUUUAAGUAUGUAAGAAAAAAAUAUUAGCAAAAUUAAAAGAACAAA